rnacentral:lncRNA from 1 species
UCCCAGCUACUCAGGAGUCUGAGGCUGGAGAAUUGCUUGAACCUGAGAGGCGGAGGUCGCAGUGAGCCAAGAUCGUGCCACUGCACUCCAGCCUGGCCGACAGAGUGAGACUCCGUCUCAAAAAAAAAAAAAAAAAAAAAAAAAAAGCCAGGCAUGGUGGCUCAUGCCUGUAAUCCCAGCACUUUGGGAGGCCGAGGUGGGAGGAUCACCUGAGUUCGGGAGUUUGAGACCAGCCUGACCAACAUGGAGAAAUCCCAUCUCUACUAAAAAUACAAAAUGAGCUGGGCGUGGUGGCACAUGCCUGUAAUCCCAGCUACUGGGGAGGCUGAGGCAGGAGAAUCGCUUGAACCUGGGAGGCAAAGGUUGCGGUGAGCUGAGAUCGCGCCAUUACACUCCAGCCUGGGCAACAAGAGUGAAACUCCGCCAAGAAAGGAAGAAAGAGAGAAAGAGAGAGAGAGAGAGAAAAAGAGAGAGAGAGAGAAACAGAGAAAGAGAAAAAAAGAAAAAGAAAGAAAAGGAAAGAAAGAGAAAGAAAGAAAGAAGGAAAGAAAGAAAAAGAAAGCAAGCAAGCAGAGACUUUAGAGUCAGACUGUCCGGAUUCUAACCUUGACUCUAUCACUUUGUCACUUACUAGCUGGGUGACCAAGAACAGUGAUUAACCUGUCUAUGCCUCAGUUUCUUCACCUGUAAAAAGGGGUGUGUAAUUUGUAAUGGUUAGGAUAGGCUAGGUCAUGCUGCAGAAACAAACUAGCCCAAGAACCUUAAAACUACAACGUUUAUUCCUCACCCAGGCUUCAUGUCCAUUUUGGGUCGUUGCAAGGAGGUUCUGCUCAUCAUAGUCUCCGAUGGAACAGCCACAUUCUGGAACAUUAUGAAACAUUGCUUGCUGUCACGCUGGAAGGAAGAAAGGCAAGAGCAGGAAAUAUCUGGCCAACAGAACGAAUGGCGUCCAACUAACAGCAUCUUGUGAAAAUAAAAUGAGUUAAUGAAAGUUAACUCACUUAAGACAGCACCUGGUAUAUAGUGAGUGCUCUUUAUGUGGUUCCCAAUUUUGUGUUUCAUCAAGAAAGGUGAUCUCACUCAGGUACCUGAUGCCUCUCUGACACUGGGUGAGCAAGACCAAGAUGGAUCAGUGGCUGAAAGCCUGAAAGAUAUAUGCCAUGUGUACACCAAGUGUGUGCCAGGCAUAGACCAGGUGUGCACCAGGAAUGUGGCAGGUGUGUGCCAGGUGUACACCAGCUGUGCACCAGGAAUGUGGCAGGCGUGUGCCAGGUGUACACCAGGUGUACAUCAGGAAUGUGGCAGGCGUGUGCCAGGUAUACUCCAGGUGUGCACCAGGAAUGUGGCAGGUGUGUGCUAGGUAUACGCUAGGUGUGCACCAGGAAUGUGGCAGGUGUGUGCCAGGUAUACUCCCGGUGUGCACCAGGAAUGUGGCAGGCAUGUGCCACGUAUAUGCCAGGUGUGCACCAGGUAUGUGCUGUGUGCCAGGUAUACACCAGGUGUGCACCAGGAAUGUGCAACCACUGAGGCACAGGUCAGGGCACACUGGUGCCUGGUUCUGAUCUCUGACCACACUCAUGUCUGGUCAUAGCGCUCCAUCACACAUUCCUAGGGAAAUAUAAACUGAAGACCCAGAUCCUUUACUUAGACCUUUUACCACUGGGCCAAUAGACACCCACUUCUUCCCCACCCAGAGACCCCCUGGGCAUCCACAUCCGCUGGGCAAGAGCAGGUAUUCAUGUCAGUUUUGGUCUACAGCCUGGGAGCUCUAAAAGGUAGGAGCCGGCAACCUCCCCAACCCACCAGCCCGGAUCCCUACAGCUGUCCCACCCACCCCUGUCCUUCCUCCUCCUCUCUUGGCCAGGAGGAGCACUCAUUCUGAACCAGGCCCUUUUAGUCAUUCAGUUCCUGACCCAGAGCAGCUGAGAAGUCAGAGGCGAGGAGAGAGCUCCAAGAAGCAAAGUCACUCACUCAGGAUCUCCCAGUGCUGGGUGGUGGAGGCAGGAUUCGAACCUAGGCUGCUCUGUCUUCCAAGUUUUUGUUUCUUAUUUUAUUUUAUAUUUUAUUGUUAUUAUUAUUAUUUUGAGAAAGGGUCUCACUCUGUUGCCCGGGCUGGAGUGCAGUGGCACGAUCAUAGCUCACUGCAGACUCAAAACUCCUGGGCUCAAGUGAUCCUACUACCUCAGCUCCCCGAGUAGCUGGGACUAGGGGUGUGCCACCAUACCUGCCUUUUUUUUUUUUUUUUUUUUUGUAGAGACAGGGUCUCACUAUGUUGCCCAGGCUGGUCUCAAACUCCUGGACUCAAGCAAUCCUGCCUCAGCCUCCCAAAAGUGCUGAGAUUACAGGUAUGAGCCACUCAUGCUCAGCCUGCCACAGCCUGGGCAACAUAGUGAGACCCCUUCUCUACCGAGAAAGAAAACAAAAUUUAGCAUAGCGUGGUGGCAUGCACCUGUAGUCCCAGCUACUCAGGAGGCCAAGGUGGGAGGCUCAC